CUUUGAUUCUGGCUCAGGAUGAACGCUAGCUACAGGCUUAACACAUGCAAGUCGAGGGGAAACGACAUCGAAAGCUUUCUUUUGAUGGGCGUCGACCGGCGCACGGGUGAGUAACGCGUAUCCAACCUGCCCACCACUUGGGGAUAACCUUGCGAAAGUAAGACUAAUACCCAAUGACGUCUCUAGAGGACAUCUGAAAGGGAUUAAAGAUUUAUCGGUGAUGGAUGGGGAUGCGUCUGAUUAGCUUGUUGGCGGGGUAACGGCCCACCAAGGCUACGAUCAGUAGGGGUUCUGAGAGGAAGGUCCCCCACAUUGGAACUGAGACACGGUCCAAACUCCUACGGGAGGCAGCAGUGAGGAAUAUUGGUCAAUGGACGAGAGUCUGAACCAGCCAAGUAGCGUGCAGGAUGACGGCCCUAUGGGUUGUAAACUGCUUUUAUAAGGGAAUAAAGUGAGUCUCGUGAGACUUUUUGCAUGUACCUUAUGAAUAAGGACCGGCUAAUUCCGUGCCAGCAGCCGCGGUAAUACGGAAGGUCCGGGCGUUAUCCGGAUUUAUUGGGUUUAAAGGGAGCGUAGGCCGGAGAUUAAGCGUGUUGUGAAAUGUAGAUGCUCAACAUCUGCACUGCAGCGCGAACUGGUUUCCUUGAGUACGCACAAAGUGGGCGGAAUUCGUGGUGUAGCGGUG
rnacentral:rRNA from 1 species